rnacentral:miRNA from 1 species
CCAAUCUAUCAUCUCGUCGUCGUCAGGCUUGUCCUCCACCGCGUCCUAUUAGGACGCGGUGGAGGACAAGCCUGACGACGACGAGAUGAUAGAUUGGU